GGGGAAUUCAAAUGUUUAGAAUCCCUUCCCUAACAGUUUAAUUGGGAUUUCUUUUUUUGAUUGUAGGUAAGCUACCUCUUUGUUAGCGCAGCACCCUUUCCACCGCCCUUUCAAUUCAACAGGAACCAACCUGCAUUUUUUCUUUGGUGUAGAUCCUUUAUUGUCCUUUAUUGAGCUAUUGGCUCAGUAGCAAAAUGAAUAGAAGUUCUCGAUUCAGCUUCCGACCUCAGGAAAAAAAAACCUCUUCAUGCUCUUCCUUCUAUCUCCUAAAAAAGAGUGCAGUUCCACCCGCGUUUGAAGGCGAGUUAUUUGGAGCUUCAUUCUCGCAUCUCACAUAUUGGAAAAGGUAAACUUAAAAUAAAAGAAAAGGGCAACUCAGUCAAUAGACAAAGAAAAAAAGAAUAUGUUACCAAAAAAACAAUCCAAUGUUUGUCUUUCUAAGGAUUGAUUUUCCUUGUCGUAGUUCAUAUUCAUAUUAAAAAAGAAGAAGGCAGAGGUAAACUCCCCAACUCGAUCAAUGGGUGCUCAUUGGUCUUCUUGAGACUCCCCAACUGCCGCAGCUUUCGAUUGGGGGAGCCUCGAGCAUCCAGUAUAUGACAUUAAGGAGUAUUCCCCAAUGGAGUAGUCAACUCAUAGAACAAGCAUGUAAGCGAAGCAAGAAAAAGGCUUUCCAUUUUUUUUUUUAGAUUUUUUUUUCUGGUCAACGGUACACACUUCUCUUUUUUUAAUUUUUUUAUUCCAUUCCCGGUGAUCCUGUCACGCUAAACACAAAUCUUUCUUUUCAUUUUAUAUAUCCCAUGGGCGUAUAGACGAAAUAGAAAUUUGAACUAAGUAGGUUUCGAAAUGAAAUAGCCCAUUAAGUAGAGGAGUCAACGGCGCGCACACGCAGUACAUGUGGCUCUUUGAAUAAAAACUGUUGCUCUUGUUGGUAUACAGGCCGGCUAAUAUAAUAGUAUGGGAAAUAUGGGAAAGAGGAGUAGACAAUCUGGGAGGUACAGGCCCGGCCCGGCGCACGAAGCAGGAGGAAAUCGGUACCCCGCGAGGCUGGCGAAGUCGGCACAAGAAGUAGGCGGAGUAGAGGCAGUUCAAUAGCAGUUGUAGGGCACAGCACAGUAGUUGCUGUUCUCUUCUCUGUUGCAUAGGCAUAGAUGGGGUAGGCAACUCAAGCAAGACAGAACUACAGAACUAACUAAGCAGUAGCCACCUGAAGACAGAAGAGCACCUGAAUAAAGAGCCAACCACCAACCAAUCGCCCUGUAGUUUUCUUCGCUGGAGCGCAGGUUUGGAACCCUAUUUUACUAAUAAUAAGAAAGGGGCUUGUUGAAGCUAUGAAGCAUCUUAGAGUAUUCCAUUCCGUUUUUCAGCUGGAUCCGGGCCUUGCUAUUGUUCGGCCUGAAAAAACUGUAUUUAAUUUAGUAGACAGAGAGGGGCUUUUUUCGAAAGGCUAUCAACGUAUACGUAUAUAGAUAGAGUGAGUGUGCGUGCAGGGUGUAGGUGUACCACUUACGAGAAAGAACCCCAAGUCAGUAAAGUAGUUAACCAAACACAAGUAAGUAGUUCGUCAGUCCUUCCUCCGACGCCUCCCGUUCAUUCUUCUUCAUUUCAUCAUGUUUGUUGUGUUGUUCCGUUUAUAGGUCCCAAGCCCUUCUUAGAAAGCCCUCCUCCCUCUCCUUAAGUAAAAAAAAAAGAAGAAUGCUGCUUUUUUUUCGAACAUUGUAAGAACCUUUCUAACUGACACUCCAGUCAUAAUGCCACCCACGUCUUUUUUUUUUCUUUUGAACAAAGAGGCAAACGCCUGAAUAAUCCUAAUUUUUUGUCCUUUUGAUUUGAGUCCAUAAUGACUGGCAGGUUUCAUUAAUGAAAAGAAAAGCGGAGGCCCGCCAUCUGCUAGCAUUGUGGUUUGAAAUCGAUUCUUUAUCAAUGGCCCACCCUUUCUUUGAACCUUGUCAAUGAUCGAACUUAAAGAUAUAAACUGAGUGCCAUUUGAUGAGUAACUGAGAACAAGGGAGAGGGAUAUAGAAAGGAUAAAGUAAUGAAAGAGGAAGUCAUUGCUAGUAGUAACGACUUGUUACGAUCCAUUGGUUCAUAUAGAAUCCAUGUCCUAGGUGUAUCAAAAAACAUUCUUUUCACUAAGCGUAUAUAAUAAAAUAGAGUGAAAGAGUCCACCCCGAAACCAAGGGGGUACUAACUAACAGCUGAGUCCUCUCCGAACCGCAAGAGAUAGUUGCCCAUCAUACGGCUCACCAACUUCACUUGCCUCUAUGGGGGGCUCGCUCCGGGCAGGUUCGGAUCACUUACAAUACACAGCUCUACGAAGGAAGGGGUUGGGUUAGGAACGUUUUCAAUAUGAUUUUUUUUUCCCGUAUUUGUUCUAUGAAAAAAUGCGAGACGAAAAAGGAACCCAUCUUUUCGACCGGGAAAUGCGAGUCUGUUUUGUCAACUUUCUCCAUCCCCCUCUAUCAAAAUGAUCAAAAAGGAACGUAGUCUUUCUUAUUCCCGUGUUCGAUCUCUUCCAUCUCUGCCUCGCUCCUUGUCACCUAUGUUGAAGAACCUGUAGAGAAUGAAGAGGAGCCAAGGAUCUUCCUCUCAACAGUGCUUCUCGAGGCUCCACUCUCCCCCCUGAAUAAGUAAGGCCUCCUUAGCCUGGGGGGGAUAAGGAAUAAGGAUUGAAGCCCCUUAGCUCUGCCAGGCACUGGACAGGGGUUAGCUCUGUAAAUGUGUAGAGCCAAGUGUAGUGUGGUAUAGUAGUAGGCACUUCUAGGCCCCUUCCCGGCUACUGGAUCACUCCAGUGCUUUGGGUACUACGGACCCUCUGCCAUCCAUUGCAGCAGAGCCGUUUCAUGAGCGGGGGGGCUAAGCGCAGUUCUUUGAAUCAAACGGUGAAUGAAAUCGAUUUUUUUUUUAGAUAUUCAAAUAUAAAUCGGAUAGGAUAGAUGGAUGGAUCUAUCUUUCUAUUCAUAUAUAUUACUAAAAAAAAAUGGAUUUAUAUAGUUAAGUAGCGUAGCAAGAAGCCCCAAAUCCUUGAUUUGACCAGGAAAGACUGCACUGCUUUGGGCCCAGGAAGCGAAGGGAAUGAGCUCGGCUGCUUCUCCUCCACACUUAUUUUUCUCCGUGCCCGUUCCGCAUGCGCUUCGCGCGCCAUUGGCGCUUUGUUCUCCUCUUAUUCUUCAUUGGACGGUCCGGAUGGACUUCGCCGUUCUUUCCCAACUAAAAUAGAAAAGGUAUUUUCAAAUCGAGAUGUCGAUUCGUUUUCCGCCCCCAAUGAGAUGGGGAAUUUGUAACCCCCUUUUUAUACUUUUCUAAUUUUUGGCCCUUCAUCUUUCUGAAUCGAGGCCCAGCCUGGCUCGCGUCGUUCCAACAACCGGCGGGGAGCAUCUCAGUAUACGAUCGCGCGCAGUAACUGGGAGUCCUAUUACACCUAAGGCCAACUUCAAUUCACCAAACCAAGGUUCAUCUCGUGUAGUGAUUGUGGACUCGUACAAGGAUAUUGAGUAGACGUUUGAUGUAUCAGACUCAACCCUAUCUUUCGUAGCAUGCAUUCCCAUCCGUGUCGCAACUGAUUCGGUAAGCUACGUGUCCGGUGCACGGAGAACUGCCUUCGGUCCCCCAAACUGACUUACUCGUGGCAACCUUCCGGCCGCCCAACAACCUAUAACGCUAGUCACUACUCCCACUGAGGCUAGGAAGUAAGCCCCACAACCCAAAGCGGCGAAGAACAAAUAGAAUUUGCUACAAAAGCCGGCUAACGGGGGUAUUCCUGCGUAUGAGAACAUAGUAAUGGAGAAGGUAAUAGCCAAAAUAGGAUUCGUUUUGGCUAGAGCGCCCAAAUCCGCUAUAUAUUUGACACGGGUUUGCCGUAAUGCUAAAACUAUGGCGAAUGCAUCUAUCGUCAUUAAUGCAUAAAUAAAGAUACCAAUUAGUAGUGAUUGAAUUCCUUCUAUGGUUCCACAUGAGAACCCAAUACAAAUAUAACCUACAUGUCCAAUUGAACUAUAAGCUAGAAGUCUUUUUACUUUCGUUUGGGCCAUGGCGGCCAGUGCUCCUAAGAUCAUAGAAGCAAUGCUGCAGAAAAAGAAGAUUUGUUGCAAUGUAGCUCCAUAGGAACCAUAAAUAAAAACACGUAAAAUAUUAGCAAAAAUAGAGAUUUUAGGCGCAAUAGAAAGGAAUGCUGUAACGGGGGUGGGUGAACCCUCAUAGAUAUCAGGUGCCCACAUAUAUAGAGUCAAAAGAGAUAUGGAGUCCGAAGGGGAGGGGGGUUUUCUUCGGGGCUCGAGAGAUGGAAUAGAUAGGGCCCCACAAGUUUUGAAUUCGCCGCUGGGGAAUUCACACGAAAGGGAACGAGGAAUUUUCAACGAAAAAAGUGCUCUCUGAACCGAACGUGAAAGUAGUUUUCCAUCAGACGGCUGUUCCCGUAACUCCACUCUCGACUUGGAUUAUAUAUCCAAAAAGGUCCGCUCUCGGCCAUUCCACACGCUGCCUAGCGGAGGCGUGGUUAUCUGAAGUGGAUUCUCUCUUUUCUAGUAGAUGCCGAACCUGCUGCCCCAUUGACUAAGAAGGGGGCGGGCGCAGCAGCUACAUGGACCCCUUCCUUUCUGUUGUUGCCAGCGCUUUCCCGGGCCGAGCCGGAAUUCCUUAUUAUAAAGGGCAGGCAAAGCCCGAAGGCUGCUAUCCCAAUAGGCCAGCGAGGAGAGGGUCCGGCAAACCAUCGCGGUCGAAAAAGCGUGUUCCCUUCAGAUAACACGCACCGUAGACCAUCCUCGGCCUUCUUCGUUUUCGAUGAAAAACAAAUCAAAUCUCGAUCUCCGAAAGCGUUUUCCUUCCCCCGCCUCCCCUCCUUCGUCGAGCCUUUCCUUUAAUGGUUGGGGGAAGCAUUCCCUUAUCUGAACUUGGCGGGCAUUCUUUCCAGCCUUAUUCAAAUAGGGGGGGGUGCUUUUGAAUAUAGGCUCAAACAUGAUUUGAAGGUCCUAGCUACGCCAUGCGUUCAAUACAAAAUCUGGAAAGCUGCAAGGAUGACAAAAAGAGGGCGCUUUCCUGUGUUGCACUGAAAAAAGAAGGACCUAAGAGAAAACACUCUUCUCUUAGGUUUCUUCCUCCCGCGCCCGCCGCCGCCCGGCCCGCGUUAGAGGGGAAAAUUAGCAAAGCGAGAAAAGACAGAGGGAGGGAGAGCAGCAUCUUAUUCUUUUCGCGAGAACUUCCAGAUCAGAAAAGCAUUCGGAACGGGCUCCGCGUUCAUUUCGUUGGCAGAAACGAUCCAAUCCAUUCGGGGCUUCGGGGAACCAAAAAAAAAGUCUUUCGACUUGAUUCAUAGAUAGAAUCAAUGAUAGAUAGACAAAAGAUAGAUGAACGAGAUAUCUUUUUUUUUCUCUAAAAAAAAAGAGGAAUAGAAUAGACAUCCCUUUAGAUGUCUAUGUAUCCUUUAUCAUCUUCCGAUUUUUUUUUAUAUCGUUAUAUCUGCUCUCUCUAAAAAAAAUUGAGAGAGAAAGAGCAGUUCCUCUGGAACCUAUAUCGAACAUCAAUUCCUAUCUAUUGAUAGGAAGAUCUUCGUCAAAUACCCGACUUUGCCUUUUUUUUUAGGAAUUCCUCAUAUCCAAGGCAGCUUACCACAAGCACCUCACCCCAUACGACUAGUUGGGGGGGCUGUUCGCCUUUUGAAUCAAACAAAGUAAUAGGGGCUUCAUAGCUACUUUCAUUCUAAAGGAAACCGAAGAACCAACCUUUAGUCAAUAGGAGCCCUACUUCCCUCU
rnacentral:misc_RNA from 1 species